AACGAACGCUGGCGGCGUGCCUAACACAUGCAAGUCGAGCGCGAAAAGGGCAACCUGAGUAGAGCGGCGCACGGGUGCGUAACACGUGGGUAAUCUGCCUUGGAGUCAGGGAUAACCUUCCGAAAGGUUGGCUAAUACUCGGUAAGCUUACGGUGUCUCCGGACGCUGUGGGAAAAGUAGGCCUCUGUUUACAAGCUUACGCUCUGAGAUGAGCCCGCGGCCCAUCAGCUAGGUGGCGGUGUAACGGACCACCAAGGCAACGACGGGUAGCUGGUCUGAGAGGACGAUCAGCCACACUGGAACUGAGACACGGUCCAGACUCCUACGGGAGGCAGCAGUGGGGAAUUUUCCACAAUGGGCGAAAGCCUGAUGGAGCAACGCCGCGUGUGUGAUGAAGGUUUUCGGAUCGUAAAGCACUUUCGACUGGGACGAAAAACCUUUGGCUAACAUCCAGGGGCCUGACGGUACCAGGAGAAGAAGCACCGGCUAACUCUGUGCCAGCCGCCGCCGUAAAAC
rnacentral:rRNA from 1 species